rnacentral:rRNA from 1 species
UACGUAGGUGGCAAGCGUUGUCCGGAUUUAUUGGGUUAAGGGUGCGUAGGCGGCAUUUUAAGUCAGUGGUGAAAUACUUCAGCUUAAACUGGAGAGGUGCCAUUGAUACUGGGAUGCUUGAGUACUGAUGAGGUAGCGGAAUGGACGGUGUAGCGGUGAAAUGCUUAGAUAUCGUCCAGAACACCGAUAGCGAAGGCAGCUUACUAAGGAUAACUGACGCUGAGGCACGAAAAGCGUGGGGGGAGCAAAACAGG